rnacentral:lncRNA from 1 species
CCGCCACCAGCAUGUUCUGGGGCGAAGGCGCUGGUGAAUGGAGGAGCAUAAUCAACCGCCCAUCUUUGCCGGCAAAGGUUCAACCACCUAUAUCCAAAUCACCUUGAACAUCGCCCAGAUCUGGGUUUUGGUGGCGAGGCCGAGAAGCAACUUUUUCCACCUUACCUUGAACAUCACCGGUGAAGAGGAUAGAAAGGUAAUCGGAGAACUGGACGUGUUGUUCACCCCUCUUCCUAUCCCUGCUUCUGCAAGAUCAAGCUGAAUCACUUUCCUUCAUCCUUACUUGGACCAAUCUACUCUCCAAAGCUUCAAAGAUUCAUCAUCAUUGGCUCCA